GCGUGUGUGUGUGUUGUGUGUGUGUGUGUGUGUAUCUGAACGUUGAGGACCUCCUGACACAGCAUAAUUCUAAAUUUAUGAACACCGGAAUGGUCUGAACAUUGAACAUGAAAUAUUUUUGGGGAGGCAACAAUUCAGAAAGGUCACAUGGAGUUUUGCAUUAAGGCGAGGGCCGCACCACUGCAGCACCAUAGGGAGUUUAUGGGCAUGCUCUGAUGGCCAACACUGACCUCUUCAGCUGAGCACCAUGUUUGGGCAUUGAAGAAGCCACACUCCACAGUUAUAACAUAAGGAGAUGUUUUCUGAUGUACACUAAAUUAUAUAGUGAGUGAUAAAUAAGUGUUUUGUGAGACAACAAUACAAUAUAUUAUGCACAAACAUUAGUGUCAGAACCAUUCUAGAGUCAGUUGCAAUACUUAUUGCAACUGACUCUAGAAUGGUUCUGACACUAAUGUUGCAUGUUGCUGAAUCAAGAUUGUAAUAACAUGCACUGCGAUGUUUUCUUUAGAGAACAUAAGGAUCAUACAAACACACACACACACACACACACACAUGCCCAUGCACACAUACAUCCACAGGCAGACGGAUAGACA